rnacentral:Y_RNA from 1 species
GGCUGGUCCGAUAAUAGUGUGCUAUCAGAACUUAUUAACAUUAAUGUCACUAAAGUUGGUAUACAACCCCCCACUGCUAAAUUUGACUAGCUUAAA